GCGGGCGAAGGGGAUCUCCCACCCCUGCGGGGCCCCCGCGCCGCCUGCGCGCCGCUUCCCAGCAAAUACGAGUAAAACACAACCCCAGCCUUUGGAGGAUGUGUGACAUGGAGGAGGAGGCCUGGAGCCAGUGACCCUGAGAUCCUCAGCUGGAUCGUGCCAGAUGCAACAGGAGGCUGGAAAACCUCAGGAAUUCACUUGGACCACAUUCAACUCCCUUCCUGUGCAGUCUGACAAAGCCUUAAACAUCAGCAGGGCUGGGGACAGGUACAGGCACUGUCAUCACGAGCAGGGAUGGAGCUGGUGUGCUCCUUCAAACAACUCUGAGGUGCUGCUUUUAUUUCUCCCCCACUGAUGAGGUGCAGAACUAAGAGCCUGGCAGCCCUGGAAAUGGAAAGUUCCUGAUGUAAGCAGAGUUUUCAUGAUAGCAGUGGGCACUGAGUCUGUAACAAGCUCUGUGGCUGGCAGCUUGAGGA